AAAAUCCGUCGACUUUAAAAAUCGUGAGGGUUCAAGUCCCUCUAUCCCCAAAAAAGGGC
rnacentral:tRNA from 1 species